ACGUUUCAGCUAGCGCAUAGAACUGCUAGAAGAAUAUUCACAGAAGUAUUGGUUUCAACGAAUAUGUUCCCCUCCUCGUUGCUGUCGAUCACUGUGCUCUUCCUCCAAGCAAAAUGUGCAGCCAGUGUUGUAAACCUAGAACCUAGACGCGAUACACUGGGAUGUGACAAACGCUAUGAAACAUGUGAAUAUCCAUAUUCCUGCAGGUGCAGUCCACGGGCAGGUUACGGGUUUCAGAAUGCGUAUUACUUUCACUACAAUGUCCUCAGUCGCAGCUGUCUUCCAUCUGGGGAGUCCAUGAACUGCAACGGAUUUCAUUCGUUACAACAAUGCCUGCGCCGUUGUGUAAAUAUACCACGAAGGCUUUUAGUCCCGUAUAAUGUUCUCUAGCUAUCUUAAUAAACAUUUAUUGCAAUAAAGAAGGUAAAU